UACGUAGGGUGCAAGCGUUGUUCGGAUUGACUGGGCGUAAAGGGCGUGUAGGCGGUCGGCCAAGUCUGAUGUGAAAGCCCGAGGCUCAGCCUCGAAGUGCGUCGGAAACUAGUCGGCUGGAGCGCGAUAGAGGAGGGUGGAAUUCCUGGUGUAGCGGUGAAAAUGCGUAGAUAUCAGGAGGAACACCGGCGGCGAAGGCGGCCCUCUGGAGUCGUUGCUGACGCUGAGACGCGAAAGCGUGGGGGAGCAA
rnacentral:rRNA from 1 species